rnacentral:rRNA from 1 species
AUGCAUGUCUAAGUACACGCCUUUACACGGCUAAACUGCGAAUGGCUCAUUAAAUCAGUUAUGGUUCCUUAGAUCGUACAAUCCUACUUGGAUAACUGUGGCAAUUCUAGAGCUAAUACAUGCAACACAGCUCCGACCCUCGCGGGGAAGAGCGCUUUUGUUAGCCCAAAACCAACGCGGCGGUCGUUCACGCGGCCGUCGCUAAAGUAUGGUGACUCUGAACAACUUUGUGCCGAUCGCACGGCCUUUGAGCCGGCGACGAAUCUUUCAAGUGUCUGCCCUAUCAACUUUCGAUGGUACGUGCUAUGCCUACCAUGGUGAUAACGGGUAAC